UACAGAGACUGCAAGCGUUAUUCGGAUUCACUGGGCGUAAGGGGUGCGCAGGCGGUUGGGUGUGUCAGAUGUGAAAUCCCGAGGCUUAACCUCGGAACUGCGUCUGAAACUACUCGACUAGAGUACUGGAGAGGGAAACGGAAUUCACGGUGUAGCAGUGAAAUGCGUAGAUAUCGUGAGGAACACCAGAGGCGAAGGCGGUUUCCUGGACAGUUACUGACGCUCAGGCACGAAAGCAUGGGGAGCAAAAGGG
rnacentral:rRNA from 1 species